rnacentral:rRNA from 1 species
GAUGAACGCUAGCUACAGGCUUAACACAUGCAAGUCGAGGGGUAACGAGAGGAAAGCUUGCUUUCCUUGUCGACGACCGGCGCACGGGUGAGUAACGCGUAUCCAACCUGCCCCCAACUAGGGAAUAACCUUGCGAAAGUAAGACUAAUACCCUAUAAUUUCCUCAGAUGACAUCUGACGAGGAAUAAAGAUUUAUCGGUUGUGGAUGGGGAUGCGUCUGAUUAGCUUGUUGGCGGGGUAACGGCCCACCAAGGCAACGAUCAGUAGGGGUUCUGGAAGGAAGGUCCCCCACAUUGCGACUGAGACACGGUCCAAACGCCUACGGGAGGCAGCAGUGAGGUAUAUUGGUCAAUGGGCGGAAGCCUGAACCAGCCAAGUAGCGUGCAGGAUGACGGCCCUAUGGGUUGUAAACUGCUUUUAUACAGGAAUAAAGUUAGCCACGUGUGGUUAUUUGUAGGUACUGUAUGAAUAAGGACCGGCUAAUUCCGUGCCAGCCGCCGCCGUAA